CCCUUAGAUGUUCUGGGCCGCACGCGCGCUACACUGAUGAAUUCAACGAGCACUAACCUGUGCCGAAAGGUUCGGGUAAUCUUGUGAAAUUUCAUCGUGAUGGGGAUUGAUUAUUGCAAUUUUUAAUCAUAAACGAGGAAUGCCUAGUAAGCGUGAGUCAUCAGCUCACGUUGAUUACGUCCCUGUCCUUUGUACACACCGCCCGUCGCUCCUACCGAUUGAAUGUGCCAGUGAAAAGUUCGGAUUGGAGAUAGGAAACGGCAACGUAUCCUAUUUCCGAGAAAAUCUUUAAACUUUCCCAUUUAGAGGAAGGAGAAGUCGUAACA
rnacentral:rRNA from 1 species